AAAACUGCUUUAUUUAAAAACAUACAAAGUGGAUAAAAGGAGUGCAGUCACUCUGCUGCUGCCUUCUUGCCUCGUUUCCCUGUGGUUUUAGUUUCAGGAGCAGCAGUGUCCCCUUCAUCAGCCUCUGCAGGCUUCUGGAAAGCUUUGGCCUUUGCACCACUUCUUGGCUGCCCCUUCACCCUUGGUUGUCUUCUGUGCUUUGGGUUGAUCCUCAACUGUCCUCUCUGCCCCUUUGUCCUCUUUGACUUGAGCUUCUUAGCAGGGGCCACCUUGGAAGCAGAUGCUUUUGCGGACUUCCUGAGUUUUCAUCCUGAAAGAUGAAAAUGACAGGUUUGCAAUGCUGCUGGUUUGUGGUAGCAUUUAAAAUUGAGAUUCAAUUUGAGAUUCAAUUUAACCUUGGUAAAGCCCAAAUAGGGAACAGUACCCAUGACAAAAGUGUAAAAAAAGUCCCUAUAACCCAAAACCACUUGAACAAUGCCAAUAGUCAGAACAUAACUGAAACCACACUUGCCUCUGAAGGUUUCUCCUUCUGCUUUUUGGCUGUAACCUUUUUCUUCUCAGCUUCUAGAGACAAGAGUUAGUGAUGUGUGUGUAUGCAUGCAAUCAUGGACAUCAUGAGGAGAAGUGAGAUACCCAUACAAGUCAUUGAAUGAGCAAUGUUAAAUGUCCUCCAUUGCAAUGGGUGUAGCUCAAUAACAAUGAUCCCAUACAAGCACGUGAUCAAUGACGUCAAAAGCUUUGUUUCGCUGGGUCCAAGAGGCAAAAAAACAAAUGGAUUAUUUUUUAACCAACCAUGUUCUCAAUGUUCAAAAUACACCAGAGAACAUAUUUAGCCACAGACGAUCAAUAGGUUCUCAAAAAUAACUGGAUUAAAUUUUAUCACAAGAGCAUGCUGCCAAAAUAAAGAAAACGCCAACAAAGUGUCUUAAAAAGGGUGUUUGGCCUCCACCAGCUGCAAGAACAGCUUCAAUACGCCUUGGCAUAAAUUCUACAAAUUGAUCUAAACCAUGGCAGGAAAACGCACCCCACACACACUAUAAACUUUGUCCAUCAGUUAUUCAAAUGUUUCCUUUAUUUUGGUAGUUACAUUGUUGCCUACAGUCUCGAAGACUGCAAUUUGGGCAGCAUGCAUGCCAAAUGUACAGCUUUUUGUGUUGUGGCCAUAGACAUAAUACAUCGAUUUUUGGAUCCUCUUAUCCUGGCAUUUUGAGUGGAAACUCAUGGGUACACUAGCAAUGGCUGCCAGUUCUGAUUUGAACUGGAACUGGCAUCCAUGGAUGAUAUGUAGUUGGUUGCAGCUGUCUGUUUGCACAUUUCAAUAUAAAAAUUGUGGGAAAAACAUAGUUUGGAAAGCAAAUGUCUACUGCUAAAAAUAGGAGACUGUCUCUAGAACCAAUAUAAUUCUCAACUCCCAAUUUUUAGUGACAAGCAGCACCGUUUUUCAAAGUAGCUCAUCUUGAGGUAGGCUAUUGCCAAGAGGAGCGCAUUGGCCAUCACCGUGAGUAGUAGCAUAUGGUGGCCUCAUCAUUGAGUCAGUGUGCCACUGGAAAUUGUAUUUAAUUGCCCAAUGUAGUAAUAUAUAAAUAAAAAACACUAUUCAAACAGGAAUGCUGCUUUAACAUACUCAAUUACAAUUUUUGGGAAGGAAAACCAUUUCAAAUCUGGAAACACUGGUCAUUUACUUUAAUAAGAUUUAGACAUGCAUGGGUCACUUACCCGAAACCUCCCCUGUGCGCCGUUUGCUAUCGAGUUGAUGUCCUCACCAAUACCCCGCCCUCGAUUCCUAUUUUCAGGGUCUUGCGUGUCAUGUACUUCAACUUCAUCAGGUCCACAGAUGGAUAUUUCUCUGUUAUGAAGCCGCGAAUGGCCUGCGAUGAGACGAUUCGAGAGUCCAACUCCUUCAGCGCUUCAUUAACCAACACCAUCGUGGGUGGAUGAAGAGGAGUUUUUCAUGCCACAGCAGGUGCUCUACUUGUUUCUAACAAUGAAAUUGACAAAUCUAUCAACCGUAAUCUGACCAAAUAGCCGUUACUUCUUCAGCGGCUGCUGCUUUUUUUUAGGUGGUAUGAUCUAACGGUUAAUAUCAAAGUUAGGCUAUAUAAAAACGUUAGUUUAAAAUCAGCAACUGCAUUCUCAGCCUACACUGGUUCAAUGUUAUGCACUUCAAGCAAAGCACGCGGUUUAUCUGAACGGGCGUGGAAAUGUAGGUACCAGUCAGAGCAUUAAAGGUAAAAUGAUCAGUCCGAGUAGUGUGAACUCGCUUUUUCUUCUCUCCUCCGUUCCUUCCUUCCAUCCAUCCUUUCCUUUACUGCGCUUAUCAGUUUACCGUCAUUGCUCUGGCAUGUUAUUAAACGUGACUCACCAAACAUAAAUUAAAUAUGAAAACCCUUCUACAUUUUAGAGAUUCUAAAAACCUUCAACCACAAAUGCAGGGUUUUUGUAGUUAAACAUUGUGCAGCUGUUAAAAACUUAAAACAAAAGGUCGAAGAUAAAUAUUUUAUUCAGAAAGACAAGUUAGCUUGUUGGUUUUAGAAAUUGAAUUGCCUGCAAUAAUGAUACAAAAUAAAAUUUCUUGAAGACAGGUAGCUUUAGAACCUAAAAAUAAUUACCGAUGAAUGAUUCUGAAUGUUCAGCCUCCUUGUCCUCUGCAACAUGACAUUAGCCCACAGUUGUCAUAUGAGACAUCUGUGGUUUUCCUGUGAACAAGCUCCACAUCUGCUUUUCUAUUGAAACAUUUCAUCUUUGUCCCAGUCACUGCCACCAUCUUCUGUAAAGUCAGACUAACAGUAUGUAUGUAGCUGUCUAAAAAAUGACAUUAUUCAUCCCUGAUAUGGCUGGUCGUCUGUUUUUACUCAUCCUCCUUUUCGAUACCUUCCAGUACCUCAAAGCCAAAGAUCUUCCUCAGCCCAGUCUAACAGUGAUUCCUGCAGUCAUCAAAGAGAGAGACUCAGUUCAGCUGAACUGUCAGACUCCUCCAUCUGUCUCUGAGUGUUACUUCAAAAUGGAAGGGCAAGUAGAAUUCACCCUUCCAUCACCCUGUCAACAGACACUCACAGGAACACUACUGGUGAGGUGGACAGGUCAGAGUUCACCAGCUGAGGUCAAAAUACAAUGUCAGUACAAUGCUACAGGUUCACAGUUUAGAUCCAUAUACAGUGAGCCUUCAACAGUCACAAUUCAGGACAUUCCUCAGCUGACAGUGAGUUCUACAGUCAUCAGAGAGACAGAAUCAGUUCAGCUGAGUUGUGAGACUCCUCCAUCUCUCCCUGUGUCUCACUGUUACUUCAACAUAGAGGGGGGGAAGAAUCUUCCAGACUCAUUGUGUACUCAGACAAUAACAGGAACUGAGCUGCUCAAGAGGUCUGGUCCAACAUUUCCAGCUGUGGUCAAAGUGACGUGUUACUACACUGUAUGGAAGUCUCACACAUCUCCUUUUAGUGACCCUGUCUCAGUCACUGUUCAGGACAUUGCAGUCAAUUUUGAAGGGUACUUCAACAUCAUCUGUUUGAUUCCUGGAUCCGUCAGUCCUUACACCACCUGUAACCUGUAUGUUGGAGAGGAGAGCCAGCCAUCCUUCACAGAAAAGAUGUGGAAAGACAAAAUCAAAGAUCUGGUGGGAGUUCACAUCAGUGAUCCAACAACUAUACAGACACCUUCUAUAGCAGUGGGUUUGACUCCAGGUCCUAGGUCUACUUUGCCGCCCAGCACGACAGUGAGUCCUACAGAAGUUUCAACUGUUACUUGUGCCUUUACCCCAGACACCACAGUGACACCAACUACCAGGUUGACCUCCCCUUUGACCCCUAGCAGGGCAGUGAAUCCUUCAUCAGAUCCAAUGAUUUCCUUUGCAUCAGCGUCGACUGUUUGCUGUACUUUGACCACUGACACCCCAGCGAGUCCAACUGAAAGAGGUCAAAGCUCCACAGAAAGUGAAGUGGAAUCAAACAGUCAAGAAAGCAUUCUGUUGGGGCAAUUAUGGCAGGCAGCAGUGGGUGUGGCUUCUGGAGUGGGCGUGUUCCUGGUAGGUUUGACAGCUGUCUGUCUCUGCAGGAGGACCAACAAAACCAAUUCUCAGAGACCUACAGCCAGACAGGAUGUUCACAGACAAUAUGAUUUGGUGUCUAUGGGAGCGGUGAGCAGCGGAGUCAUGGUGGAUUCAGGAGAUGCUGGAAUCGAUUCUCAGAUCACUUCUGUACUGUCCAUGUUCAUGCCCUCAGGUCCCGUUGAUGUGGAUUCACAGGCAUUUGCAAAUAAACAUUCUGAUACGUACCAUGUAUACAGCUUAAUCCCCGACAGACCAGCAACCUCAGCCCAGCCGGAUGGGUUGUACAGUCUGCAGACACACUGAAACUACACCUCUGGUUUUCUGUAUCUGUCUCACACAUCUCACACAAAUACAAAUACAUACAUUGAUUAACAGGUAAUAUGUCUACUGUAUUACACAUGGACAACUGGUUUCUGUUACAUGUCUAUCCAUAAUAUCUGUUACUGUGUUAAUAUUUAUAUUUUGGGGAUUUUGGAGGGGUCCGGGGCAUACUCCCCUUUGAGCAUUUUUCUUAUUUCUUCUCCCUAGUAAAUGCUAAAUCUACUGUAUUUAAGUAUUAUGUUGACUGUUUGAUACCUUCUUCCAUAACAGUUGGAUACAAUUAAUUUCCUAUUGGGCAAAACAUAAUCCAAACACAACCAAAACAAACUGCAAAUGCAUACAAACUCAAGUUUGUUGAGUCACAAGCUUGAUGCAUUUAUUGGGUGCAAAGAAUAUAGGACCAAAAUACAUCAUGCUUGACUACUUUAAUACACUAUAAAUUAAUUUGCCCAAAUACUUAUGACUUCUUGAAUUGGGGGGACUAUAUACAUAAAGUGCUUUUUUAUCUCAUUUGUAAAACAUACAAUACCUUCAGAAAGUAUUCACACCCCUUGACUUUUUCCACAUGUUGUUAUGUUACAGCCUGAAUUUAAAAUGUAUGAAAUGUAGAUUUUUUUUUAUGUCACUGGCCUACAAACAAUACCAUAUAAUGUCAAAGUGGAAUUAUGUAAAAAAAGAAGUGUCAAUAAGUAUUCAAUUACUUUGUUAUGGAAAUCCAAAAUAAGUUGAAUAAUACAUUGCAUGGACUCACUCUGUGUGCAAUAACAGUGUUUAACAUGAUUUUUAAUGACUACCUCAUCUCUGUACCCCACACAUACAAUUAUCUGUAAAGUCGGUCAGUAGUGAAUUUCAAGCACAGAUUCAACCAAAAAAAACAGGGAGGUUGUCUAAUGCCUCACAAAGAAGGAAACUAUUGGUAAAAACAAGCAGACAUUGAAUAUCCCUUUGAGCAAGGUGAAGUUAUUAAUUACACAUUGGAUGGUGUAUCAAUAUACCCACUCACAACAAAGAUACUGCCAUCAUUCCUAACUUAGUUGCCGGAGAGGAAAAAACCCACUCAGAGAUUUCACUAUGAGGCCAAUGGUGACUUUAAAACAGUUACAGAGUUUAAUGGCUGUGAUAGGAGAAAACUGAGGAUGGAUCAACAACAUUGUAGUUAAUCUACCAAACUAACCUAAAUGACGGAGUGAAAAGAAGGAAGCUUGUACCUGUUUGCAGCAAGGCACUAAAGUAAUACUGCAAAAACUGGCAAAGCAAUUCACUUUUUGUCCUGAAUACAAAAUGUUAUGUUUGGGGCAAAUAGGAUACAACACAUUACUGAGUACCAUUCUGCAUAUUUUCAUGCACAGUGGUGGCUGCAUCAUGUUAUGGGUAUACUUGUAAUCAUUAAGGGACUGGGGAGAUUUUCAGGAUAGAAAAUAAAUGUAAUGGAGCUAAACACAGGCAAAGUACUAGAGGAAAACCUGGUCGAGUCUGCUUUCCACCAGACACUAGGAGAUGAAUUCACAUUUCAGCAGGAUAAUAACCUAAAACACAAGGCUAAAUAUACACUGGAGUUGCUUACCAAGAAUACAGUGAAUGUUUCUGAGUGGCAGAGUUACAGUUUUGACUUGAAUCUACUUGAAAAUCUAUGGCAAGACCUGAAAAUGGUUGUCUAGCAAUGAUCAACAACCAAUUCGACAGAGCUUGAAGAAAUUUGAAAAGAAUAAUGGGCGAAUGUUGCACAAUCCAGGUGUUGAAAGCUCUUAGAGACUUAGAGACGCAGAAAGACUCACAGCUGUAAUCGCUGCCAAAGGUGGUAAUACAAAGUAUUGAUGUGGUGUAAAGACUUAUCUAAAUGAAAUAUUUGAAUUCAGGCAGUAACACAAUAGUAAUAAUAAUAAUAAGUCAAGGGGAAUGAUUUUUUUUGGAAAAUAUCCUAAUAAAAGGGGAAAUUCUGUACUGUCACCUUAUAUGAAACAUUCUAUCUCAAAUGUAAAAUACUGGAGUAUAGAGCCAAAUAUAUUUUUUUAGCCUCACUGUCCAAAUGCAUAUGGAGUAGAGCGUAUGACCGAUAAAUUAUUCUGAUUGUUCAGAUACCCUUACCUCUGCAACAUUAGCUCACACUUGCUGUAUGAGACUUUUGUUAAGGUUUCUGCUCCUUGUGGUUUUGUAGUGAACAAGCUCCAUAUCUACUUCCCUAUUUAAACAAUCCUCUGACUCAGUCACACACCUUACUGUGAAGUCAGACUAACAGUAUGUAGCUGUCUGACAAAUGGCAUUGUUCAUCCCUGAUAUGGCUGGUCAUCUGUUCUUGGUCAUUCUCCUUUUUGGUGAGUUAUUUCUACAUUUCUACAGUUUCAUCAUCUGUUUGUUCUACAGGAUAUUCCUCUUCUUCUCUCCCCUCUUUUAGUUUUUUUACUUUUUACUCUUUUACUUUAGGAACUCUUGAUAUUUCUGAAUCUCAUGGCUAUGAUGAGUGUCUUGUAUCUUAUUCCAUUAAUCAUCUUAUUUAUUUCUCUCUAUCAUUAUUUUACAAUUUGUUCAGAUAAAAUUGACCACUGCUUGAUCCCCAUUAAUGCAUUACAGUAGAUUACUGUUAGAGGAAUUUCUAAAUUCCUAUAUGUUUUGUAGCCUAAAUCAAAUUCGCACUCUCUCUAUUUCAUUAAUGAGUUGUAAAUUCAUUAAUUAUGCAUGAAAUAGAUCGAGACCAGUCUUAAAAGUCAGGUAACAGCGUUUAUUACAAGAGAGUACUGACACAUACACAUUUUUCCACAGGUUAUAAACUGAAAAUGACGUCAGCGUUUUCUAAAUGUUCUAUCUCUUCAUAACACCGGUAGAGGCCCUAUAGUUUCUCGAGCUUUCGCUCCACGCCUGAAGUCAAGGUCAGUCAGUAUAAAUCAGCAUUCUAGACAGUCUGGAGAUAGUCCGUUCCUGCCACCUGGAGAUUGUACAAAUGAAUGAACUAAGGAACAGACCUUCAUUGUUACUAAACUCCUGACUACAUUAUAUACAAUUGGGAAUGGGAGUAAGAGAGAAAAUUCAUAUAUGUACAGUACAUUAUAGCAUUUGGACUAGUCAGUUCUGAUUGGAAUGUAUACAUAAUUAGUCAUUUCAACCAUAAUUUCCUCCAACAAUUACGCUACUUUACCAACUUGUGUGAAGUGUUCAGGUGUCUCCUGUUAAAACAUACUUUUUGAAUGGCAGAUGAUGAUAAUUUACUUUAUAAUUUCUAGAUACGUUCCAAUCCAUCAAAGCCCAAGGUCAGUAUCAUUAUUAUGAGUUUUUAGUUACCCAGUAAAAAUAUUAUAAUAAUCAUGGUAUAUAUUCUUCUCAUUCAAAUAUAACAUUAGCUGAUAGCAUAUCCAUCUGACACUCUGAAUUCAAAAUGAAUUACGGAUAAAUGAUUAAUACAAUACAGUGCUGAAGGUUGGCAGUUUAAAUCUGUAUACAGUGAACCUACUUCUGUCCAAAUUCAGGGUAAAACUAAUGUCUAUAGCUGUAAACACUGCAAACAAUGUUCUGCUCAGUUGGUCAUCUAGAAACACAUUGUCAUAUUGUCUUUUUGCAAAGAGCAAUUGCAUGAAAAAAUAUAUUAUAUCCCCUUUAUUUCCCAUACUAUCGCUGGGAAUUAUUCUCAAAGUGUGAUUGUUUUAUGUUUAAUGGCUGACAGUAGAUUUCCCAAACCAGUAACAAAAUGCUCAGUACCUCUGUCCUCUCAGAUCUUCCUCUCCUUCCUGAGCGGUAUGACGGCUGUGUGGUCCCAUGGUGUUUAUACUUGCGUACUAUUAUUUGUACAGAUGAACGUGGUACCUUCAGGGGGUUGGAAAUUGCUCCCAAGGAUGAACCAGACUUGUGAAGGUCUACAAUUUUUUGGGGUCUUGGCUGAUUUCUUUUGAUUUUCACAUGAUGUCAAGCAAAGAGGCACUGAGUUCGAAGGUAGCCCUUGAAAAACAUCCACAGGUACACCGCCAAUUGACCCAGAUGAUGUCAAUUAGCUUAUCAGAAGCUUCUAAAGCAAUGACAUAAUUUUCUGGAAUUUACCAAACUGUUUAAAGGCGCAGUCAACUUAGUGUAUGUAAACUUCCGACCCACUUGAAAUGUGAUACAGUUAAUUAUAAGUGAAAUAAUCUGUCUGUGAACAAUUGUUGGAAAAAUGACUUGUGUCAUGCACAAAGUAGAUGCCCUUACCGACUUGCCAAAACUAUAGUUUGUUAACAAGAAAUUUGUGGAGUGGUUGAAAAACGAGUUUUAAUGACUCCAACAUACAGUUGAAGUCAGAAGCAUGUAAACAGAAGUAUGUAAACUUCUGACUGCAACUGUAUGAAUAGUCACAUUACACCUUCCUACAUACACAUUUUACCUGAGUUACCUCCAGUAUAUAGCCUCGUUAUUGUUAUUUUAUUGUUACUUAUUUAAAUGUUUUUUUAUUUGAUUUAUUUAGAGUUUUUUAGCAAAUAUUUUCUUACUUUCAGCAAUGCAGUGUUUUAAAGUUAAGUGUUUCAUGGUAAGGUUGUAUUGUAACACCUGUUGUAUUCGGAGCAUGUGACAAAAACAUUUUAUUUUAUUUGAUAUGAAACAAAUGUACAUUUCUCUUCUCAUCUCUUCUCACCAGGUUUGACCUCUCCUUUGGCCCCCAGCACAGCAGUGAAUCCUACAUCAGAUGUGUUGGUCAUCUUUAGUUAGUAAAACUGAAAAUGAUUAACUUAUUUUAUCAGACCCAGAUUUGACUGUUAGUCCUACUUUGACAACUGACACACCAAAGAGUCCAACUGAAAGAGGUCAAAGCUCCACAGACAUUGUUGUGAAUUCAAACAGUCAAAAAAGAGUUUGGGUAUUUACAUUUGGAUUAAGAGCUAAUGACCUCUCCUGAUGACAUCAUGUCACCAAACAGAGGUGCAAUUAUGGCAGACAGCAGUGUGUAUGGCUUCUGGAGUGGGCGUGUUCUUAAUGGGAUUGACAGCUGUCUAUCUCUGCAGGAGGACCA